UUCGGUGUUAAUUGCUCACAACCAAUGCUGAAUCCAGUUUCGAAGUGAGCUAGUUUUUCUGAUAGAAAUUUCAGUGCUUGCAAGGCAACAAGAGAAUGGUGUCAAAGUUGUUGAAACAUUUAGAAUCAACCACUGUGCCUGAUGAAGGCACAAAUGAAAGAGACAAGGCCAAUCGUUAUCCAGCAUGCAAAUAGAUUUAAGAAAACCGAUCACCUUGUCUGUAUGUAAAUAUUAUCAUGCCGGAGACAUUUUAAAAUCGAUAAGGC